rnacentral:rRNA from 1 species
GACGAACGCUGGCGGCGUGCUUAACACAUGCAAGUCGAACGGAAAGGCCCUGUUUGCAGGGUACUCGAGGGGCGAACGGGUGAGGAGUACGUGGUUGAUCUGCCCUUCACUUCGGCAUAAGCCUUGCAAACUGGGUCUAAUACCGGAUAGGAUCCAGUUUUAUUGUGAUGGUUGUAGAGGUUUUUCGGUGUAGUAUGAGCGCGCGGCCUAUCAGCUUGUUGGCGGGGUAAUGGCCUACCAAGGCGGCGACGGGUAGCCGGGCUGAGAGGGUGGAUGGGCACAGUGGGACUGAGAUGCGGGCCGGACUAGUACGGGAGGCAGCAGUGUGGGCGAUUGCACGAUGGACGCAAGCCUGAUGCAGCGAGGCCGCGUGGGGGUGGACGGCCUUCGGGUUGUAAACUGCUUUCGCUGGGCACGAAGCUUUUUGUGACGGUACCUAGAUAUGAAGCGCCGGCUAACUACGUG